rnacentral:rRNA from 1 species
UACUGAGUGGCAGACGGGUGAGUAACAUGUGGGAAUCUGCCUUGUGGUUCAGGACAACAUUGGGAAACCGAUGCUAAUACUGGAUAAGCCCUUACGGGGAAAGUUUUAAUGCCAUAAGAUGAGCCCGCAUUUGAUUAGUUAGUUGGUGAGGUAAUGGCUCACCAAGACAAUGAUCAAUAGCUGAUCUGAGAGGAUGAUCAGCCACACUGGGACUGAGACACGGCCCAGACUCCUACGGGAGGCAGCAGUGGGGAAUCUUGCACAAUGGAGGAAACUCUGAUGCAGCGAUGCCGCGUGAGUGAAGAAGGCCUUUGGGUUGUAAAGCUCUUUUGUAGGGGAAGAUAAUGACUGUACCCUAAGAAUAAGGUCCGGCUAACUUCGUGCCAGCAGCCGCGGUAAUACGAAGGGACCUGGCGUAGUUCGGAAUUACUGGGCGUAAAGCGCGCGUAGGCCGUUGAGUUAGUUAAUUGUGAAAUCC